rnacentral:misc_RNA from 1 species
AAGUCGUAACAAGGUAACCGUAGGUGAACCUGCGGUUGGAUCAUUAACAAAAUAUUACAAGAGGGGUCUGAUCAUGAAUGGGAGUAGUGAUACUUCAUUGUGUAAAGGCCUACCUCUCAACCUUUAUGUGAACUGUGCUGUUUCUGGUGGUGGAGGCCAGGUUGCGUGGUUUGUUUUUAUGCAACCACACACCCUUUUCUCUGUCAGCCCACAAGUUGGGCCGUGGACAAUCCACCAAACAACUUAUUUCUAAACAUUGCUUAGUUUUUGUGUCUUAAGUGAAGCAAAAUUUAAAUGUUUAAACAACUUUUGGCAACGGAUCUCUUGGCUCUCA